rnacentral:tRNA from 1 species
GCAGUGGUAGUUCAGUGGUAGAAUUCUUAACUUUCAUGUGGGAGACCUAGGUUCAGUUCCCAGCUAAUGCC